GUCUAGUGGUCUAGGACACCGCCCUUUCACGGCGGUAACAGGGGUUCGAACCCCCU
rnacentral:tRNA from 1 species